AGGGAAUAACGUUGUCGCUUAUGGAUCCGCGUGCGACUUCCCCCGGCCAGAGCAUUAUUACCGCCAUUCCAGCAGUGGCGGGUUAGCCUACGAAUUCCCAGAAAACCCGCCCUCGAGGCGGGUUUU
rnacentral:sRNA from 20 species